CAGAUGCUAUCUUGGGUACGACUGAGCAGUCUCGGAUAUACUUUAACCCAGACAUCAACGCAACAAAUAACUUGAUUAUAAGGAACAAAUGUCAUGUGAAGCAAAUAAUUUCCUUAGAAAAAAGAGGGCCAAGAAAAAGACGCAAAAGCAUAGCUUGCUCCUUGAUUCCAGUUUCUGCAGCCACCAUUGAUAAGCAUGGGAUUGAGCAAAUGAGUAUCAAAAGGAAGUCAAGGAAACUUCGUCCUCUGGGUUGCUUGCGAU